GACGAACGCUGGCGGCGUGCUUAACACAUGCAAGUCGAACGGAGAGGCCCUGCUUUUGUGGGGUGCUCGAGUGGCGAACGGGUGAGUAACACGUGAGUAACCUGCCCUUGACUUUGGGAUAACUUCAGGAAACUGGGGCUAAUACCGGAUAGGAGCUCCUGCUGCAUGGUGGGGGUUGGAAAGUUUCGGCGGUUGGGGAUGGACUCGCGGCUUAUCAGCUUGUUGGUGGGGUAGUGGCUUACCAAGGCUUUGACGGGUAGCCGGCCUGAGAGGGUGACCGGCCACAAUGGGACUGAGAUACGGCCCAGACUCCUACGGGAGGCAGCAGUGGGGAAUAUUGCACAAUGGGCGGAAGCCUGAUGCAGCAACGCCGCGUGCGGGAUGACGGCCUUCGGGUUGUAAACCGCUUUCGCCUGUGACGAAGCGUGAGUGACGGUAAUGGGUAAAGAAGCACCGGCUAACUACGUG
rnacentral:rRNA from 1 species